AAAUCGCUCUAAAUGCUGUCAGUUAAUGGCUAUUCUUAAGAUUUCAAGAUCAAAACCGAGGAAAAUACGGUCAUGGUUAAGGCUUUCGCCGAUUGUUACUUUUCAUUUUAUUUCUUCCUUCGCCGAACCGAUUUGUUAAUACCAAUGAUUGCGGUGAAACCCACUGAAAUUAAUUCAGAUGCAGUCUGCAGAUUGUUAGGUGCAUUACAAGGUGUUUAUGAUGCAGGUAAAAAAUGCGAGUACCUUGUCUAUCUUCAGACGUUCGAUAUCUAUCGGAUGCCGCGCGAAAUAGCUCUCCGGCCUAACUACAAUACCUUAGAUGAGUAAGAUUUAAAAAUAUGCAAUGAAACAGAUUGAGAACAAUUUGGUAUAAAAUUUGGACUUUUUUGAAACAGGUUUGUUUUUAUAGUUUUAUGUUGGAAAAUUCAUGUCGAGUUGGGUGCCGACGGAUGGUUGCAUUGGAUAAUUAUAUAAAAAUUGGGUUUAAGAAGCUUGAAAGUUGAAACUGUUCACAGGAUUUUUUUCAAAACUGGCUAAUUUUUAACAAAUAUUUUUAUGGGAUAAAUGUUUCCCUCUUAAAGAGAAGAAUCUUGUAGGUAGUAAGAAGUAGUAAGAUUUAAUUUCUAUUCGUUGGUGUCGAAUGAACAGAAUAUGGAAACAAUAGUAUUAAAGUAUUUUUUAACUCUACAGAACGAUUCAUGUUCACAGAGCGGCGUUUCCUCUGAAAAAUGAUUAUUCUAAUAGCUCGUGUUUUUACGUGACGAAUUGUUGAACGUUGGCUUCCAAACUGUGUCGAGUGAGGUGAAUCUUGAAUCGUCAGUAUAGAAGAAGCUUUUCAAUUUAUCGAUCAUUGCAAUUUGAAUCAGAUUCACUAUGCUUAUCAAGAAUAACUUUGUAAAAAAAUUAUGCUAAAUUUGCCCUUCUAGAAGCUCUUGUUUAUAUAGCGCUAACUGUUGAAAGUUAGCAAUCAAAAUGGGCCCAAUGAAGAGAAUAUUGAAAAAUCAGUCAAAGUUUUAUUUUUAAGUUUAUAGAACUGCGCCUUUUAAACCAAAUCGUAACAAUGUGGAGUGAGGACUGAGGAGAAUCUUAUAUUAGUAUUGAUGACGCUUUUAAUUUAUCGAACAUUACGAUUUAAAUAAUAUUUACAACGUUUAUAGAUAAAAGGUUUGUGAAUAAA